UAAUAUGUGGCUGCAAACGAUGGUUUUCGUCGCAUAGGGUGCGAUACCCUUCCUUUUGAGCAUUCCUGUACCGGACAUCUUCUCACAAAAAUAACGGCUCUCAGCGAGCAAGUGAGAUGGAGUAUGGCCUCUGGCGAUGAGACACUCCAACUACGAUCAUCUCAGGUUUCUUGUUCAUAUUUUUUGUAACAUCUCUGACGUAGGUGGACGAAUGCAUGAGGAGAUUGGCAGAGAAGAAGCGGUUGGACUUGACAACAGACCGCGGUUCUUCCUCCUACGUACACGAACACAAGUACCGACCCUUACGCACACAAGAUAUUCCAGUGAACUUCAAGUUAUAUCGAAAGCCAUUAGAGCGUGGGAACGACACAAGGUCCUGGAGUGCUUGACUCUCUUGUUAGGCGGGGGAAGACUAUUUCGAUCGUGAGCUAUCGGAUGUUCAGCCGGGCAAGAAUGGACAAAGGGAAAAUUUUCCCGAAUUUCUGCAAGAGGCGCGGACUGUACGGUACGCUAAGUUGGAAGCGAAGUGAAAGCGACGCAGCUGAUCGCAACGGAAUAAAAUUCAUUCUGAAUUCAGUGAAUUCUAUAGAGCUGAACUUCGUGAACGCCAUUAAGCUCGCUUUCAUACAGGGGUACCUCCAACACUUCUAAAUGUCUGUCAGUUUAAGCCAGUUUUGUGAAAACAGCCGACGUCACAAACUCGAAGAAGCAGCUAGGCUGUUGGUCCAAUAUUUUAACCCCCAAAUUUACGUCAGGACAUGAGAUAUGUGGUGAUGAACUGAAAUGUAGAUUCAUGUUUCAGUAAAUUGCUUUGACGGAAGCACGGCUACAGAACGUUUAUGCUUUCGAAGAUUCAGGAACGGCA